AUAACAACGCAACGUAAACAACUCAUGUUCUCACAUCCCUCUUUUCGGUCGGUCGGUGAUUUAUUUUUUAUUAAAAAAGGUUACAUGUGCAAGCUUAGAACUCUAUGAGACUAUGGUUAUAACUAUGUCAUCUUGACAAGUAAAUGUUCAGUAAAAAACCUAAAAACAGAGAAAACGGACCAAAUCAAAAUGUAAAAGCAAAUUAAACCAAUUAACAUACCUACCUACAACAAAACAAUACCAGCCACCGGUAAUCUAUAAGCCACGGAAAACUACAAUUCAACAAAAAAAAUCACUAGCACAAUGUCCGCAAAAUCCCGAGGCAAGAGCAACUUCAAGGUUACUUUAGACACGGCGGCUCUAUCGAGAUACCAUCAGAGUUUCAGUCUACUGGUAUACACGGCACUUACGUUCUUCGUGGUGCUGCUUAUAUACGUUGCUACAAAGGACUGGAAAGGCUACACGUGUCCAGAAGAAGUGGAUCUUGGAGCAGUUCAAGUGCCCUCCCAUACCUGUCGGCGCAAACACACGCAUUUUCGUAGACACUGAACAUAUGUAUUUGUAAGCUUUUAAUAAAAAAUACCGCACAUCA
rnacentral:lncRNA from 1 species